GGCAGUUUAUUGGUUAUGUUGUGUCUACGUUCACAUAGCUAAACAACGUAACGUAGCUGAAGGCAGCAGCGGCCGGCAGAUGCGGACAACCGCUUCGACUAGCAAACGUAGCAGCGAUACAUUACGCGCUGGGCGUGAACUUGGUGGCGAAGGCGAAGGCGUUGUUGACGGCCGGGUUGGCCAGAUGGUCGUUCAGGUUCUCAAUGGGCCCCUUGCCGGUCACAAUGGCCUGCACGAAGAAGCCGAACAUGGAGAACAUGGCCAGGCGGCCGUUCUUGAUCUCCUUGACCUUGAGCUCGGCGAAGGUGUCCGGGUCGUCAGCCAGGCCCAGGGGGUCGAACGACUCGCCGGGGUACAGCGGGUCCAGGCCCUCGCCGGCCGGGCCGCCGUUCACACGGUAGCCCUCCACCAGGCCCAUCAGGAUCACCUGCGCGGCACGUGAGCAGCGAGAGCGGGGGAGAAGACAGCAGUCAAUACGGAUAAGCAACACGCCACCUUACGCGUCGUCUCUGCUCGCUUGGGGUUACGCUGCAAUAAAACCAAGCUGGAUAGGAAACGAGACACCCAGAUUCCUGGAUGUGCGUGCGGUAGCGCACAAUGCUCACAUGUCACAAGGCUGCAACUAGGAAUCCAAAGCCAAGCUGAAUGUAAGAGCGCGCAAAAGGCAGGGGAGCUUACGACAGUCAAGGGCUGGCAGCACAGUUGCCGCGCCCCACCUUGUUUCACCUAGCCAGCUAACAAGUAAGGCGACCGGACGCAUUCCUAAGCACGCAGCCACGUCCCUCCCGCCCACCUGGCACGCCAGCGUCGCGACGAUGUUCUGAGCGUGCACCAGCGACGGGUUGCCCAGGUAGUCCAGGCCGCCUUCCUGGAAGAUCUGAGCGCCGGCCUUGAACCACACAGCCUCACCGAACUGCACGCCGUUCUUGGACAGCAGCUCGGGGGUCAGGCAGCCCAGAGCGCCAAGCAUGGCCCAGCGCGCAUGGAUCAGCUCCAGCUCGCGGUAGCGCUUGAACGUCUCCGGGUCAGCGGACAGGCCGGCAGUGUCCCAGCCGUAGUCACCGGGGAACUCGCCAGUCAGGUAGGCAGGGGUGGCAUUCUCGCUGUAGGGGCCUGUCCGAUGUGGGCACAGAAGGGGAAAGCGGACAUGCGGCGGCAGCGGGCUACUGAACGGCAGGUCGCGAAAGGGGGAAAGACGCAACCUGUGCCCUUCAUCGCAGCAUGCAUCGCGCGAUGUCAGCAAAGGACCGAGAGAGCAGCCUGCGCACAGAAACCUGACGCUGCGGCAUGUUGCGCCGAAAGGAGGACCAUGCACGAGACCGACCGAUUACUCCGGCCCUCCGAUACGCGCUACACCCGCUGCAUAUCCGAUCUUCUUCGCAGGAUAACCUACCGAGCCACUUAGCGCGGUUCGGGCCAUACCACUCGAUACCAGAGCUCUUGGGGGCAGCCGGCUGUAAAGAUGUUGCGAACGGAACAAACGUCUCUGGUUAGCGGAAGGACACUGCAAAUGCGUAUUUGCAUCUAUGUAAGGCACGCUGAUAAAAUAAAUGGUGUCGAAAUAAAACGGACCUUAGCAGCGGCCUUCUUGCCGGUCGCCUUGCAUGCGACCUGCAGAGCCUUGCGAGAGGUGGCGAGAGCGAAAGCCAUUUUAGAUGUUCGUAAGGUGAUCAGACUCUGCUGCACAAAGGAGAGAACUGAUACUGAAAGCACAGGCAACCAGCGCUUUUGUUUUGCAAGCAAAUCUUGAUGCCGUACGCACGCCGUAUCCCUGUCCUGUCUGUGGGACAGGGCGUUUACCUAACAGAGAUCGCAGGAUACAGACAUGGCACACCUGCAACACAUGCGCUUAGCAGCUAUCUGCACCUGCACAGAUUGGCAUGAACGAUUUGCUACACCUGUUUGCAAGUUUCAUACAAGUUUGUGAUGCAAGGAUAACUCAGUGGCGACUGUAUAAAUGCUGUGACGUGCACGUUGAAGAUGGAUUUUGAUACGCACUGCAAAACCUUGUUUAGGCGCCAAAAGGAUCCUUCCGUGUUUGACCCUAGCUGUUCGGCCUUUACUCAUUACCAGUACCGUAGGACGGGAGGACAGUAGCUGUUGUCCUUGCUAGGAAGCAAGCUGAUAUAAUGGGUCACGCUGCUUAGGACGGCAAAGGGCAUUCUUUCCCGGACAGGGCCGGUGAACACAAGGUCCAAGCUCUGCUGGACCGCAAAAGGGCGACAGCGCCGAACCGGAGGCCGUUUAGGACCAAAGGAAGGCAACAAGUACGCGCGAAGCAGCCUGUUGUAGCAACACAUCCGAUCAAGGGAGGACGGGCGGCCUCGACCAAACGCAUGAGCUCUUAGCAACCUACAAUCAGCCACGGGCUUCCAAACGUCGGAGCCUAAGGCUGGCACCUGGGAAAAGCUCCUACUUUGCCCCGGGCUUGCCUUUGACCUCUGAAGUAAUGAAUGGAACGUCAGCACGCCCUGUGUUUGUUACCUCUUUUGCCAGGUGUUUCACCAUGCAAGCUACAUGUUGAGCACUCCACGCAUGCUUAGCUUCAGGCUAUCAAUUGAACUGUGAAAGGACCUUCUUGUGACCAGCAGUUUCAUGCAUAAAGUCGCUGGUCGCAGUAUCAGAUAGACAAGGGACAGCGGGUAGCCUAUUUGUGCCUUUCCGGGAGAGUGCUGGGCCCAUGGCACUGGCAUACGGUAUUCGGUUCUUAAGUUACGGGAGCAGGUGGUCAAACCAUUGGCGAUGCUGCAUGCUCUGGCCUUGCGGAUGCGAAACUGAUCGAAAGGGGCCUGCCAGCCAGGGUGAUACUGAAAGCAAUAGCCAGCAUGCAGCGGCGUCCAUCUGGUUGCCGAGCUUUUAAGACUCCAUAUCAUUGCACGUCCCAUGGUUCUACACCGGACUGUAAUCCAGGUAACGGCAUCGCUCAUUACAAGGCUCCAGUCCGACUUCGUACCUUCUUCCUUCGGCUUCAGGGUGGCGUGUGCGUGUGUGUGCGUGUGUGUGUGUGUGUGUGUGUGUGUGUGUGUGUGUGUGUGUGUGUGUGUGCGUGUGUGUGCGCAUGUGUGUGUGCGUGUGUGUGUGCGUGUGUGUGUGCGUGUGUGUGUGUGUGCGUGUGUGUGUGUGUGUGUGUGUGUUGUUGUUGUUAUUAUUGUUGUUACAUGGUCGUGGGUGCGUUCCCCGUACCUGCAAACCACCCUAAAACGAGCCGAGGGCUCAAGGGCUGCCAGAUCGCCUAUAAGCACCAUCCUACCUCGCACUUCCAACGAAACAAGUGAUGAAGGAUACUCACGACCAAAGGGAACGAUAGAGUUGCGGUGGGACCAUAUACGUUCCAGCAUCCUUGCCAGGCGUUCAGGUUCCCACCUCAUAGCGUCUUUCGUGUGCUCGAAGCGUGGGAAACCCAUAUCAGAUCUGAUUUUGUCGUACACCAGACAGUCCAGCAAAAUGUGCUUCUCAUCCUCGAUAUGGCUAUCAGUGCCGCAGCAAGGGCAUACUCGCUCCUCCCUAGGGAUAUAACGCCGUCCCUUACGCGCUCUGUUAGCCGCCAAUGCCCAACAGCAAAGCCUAAACUGCAUAAGCUUGCGAUUCGCUGAGCGCGGGACAAACAUUGUGAUAUGCGGGAGCAACUCCUUCCUGCCCGCUUGUUCGGCCGCCAGGCCCAUCCAAUUCUUAUACUUCGCCAUGUGAAUUCCUGGUUGCUUGCCGUCUGACGGGUACACGUCUGGCUGGACAUGUGUGUGUGCGUGUGUGUGCGUGUGUGUGUAUGUGUGUGUGUGUGUGCGCGUGUGUGCGUGUGUGUGUGCGUGUGUGCGUGUGCGUGUGUGUGUGCGUGUGCGUGUGUGUGUGCGUGUGUGUGUAUGUGUGUGCAUGACAAAAAAAGAAAGAGAGUGAGUGUGUGUUUGUGUUUGUGUGUCUUGGUGUUUGUGAGUUUGUGAGUUUGUGAGUUUGUGUUAUGCAUAUCGACACUUUUUUACGUGGUGCUGAUGCUGUGCUAUCCGAAACGGGACACAUAAGCCCGAGGCGAGCGCCACAAUAAGCCUUCUUGGUGCAUCGGGGUACCUUCCAGCGGCAACGUAGUUCCUGGCUGUGAGGAAGGUAGCGAGCCUGGUUCGCGGAGGCCGAGGCCGCUGUACGCAAGAGGGAUUGGCGAUGACCUAUGCCGCGCCAGUGAUGAUGUCGGCGGGGAGUGACCUACCAACGUGGUUUGCUGAAGUUUAACUCUUGCACUGUACGACAACCGAGGGCAUCAACCCGCGAUUAAGCGCCUAGCUCACUUCGCUAACACAGGACAGCCACGAUAACCCUUGGCUUCUUUCGCGCGAUAGAGCGUGGCCACAUGCACCUCGAAUCAUCCCUCUGAAUGAUGACAUGUUCCUUUAGCUCAUGUCUCGCGCGUGUUCCCCAUGUGUGCCUGUUGCGUGGCCGCCUUUGCAGUACGUGCCCACCAAAUUGGCUGUAUGUGCUCCAGACCCAAGAAGCGGUGAAACAAGCACUGGAACCGACACCUUCCUUAUGUCAUGAACACCGAAAUGUUACAGGAGCUUGCUUGGCGCAACGCACCCAGCACGUGCAUGCGCCUUGUAUGAAGCUCUUGACAUCUCACGUCUCACCGCCCACUACCCCACCCAAAAGUAAGAGCUCCACCUCAACACCCGUGCUGUGGGAAACCCCUGCUGGGAAACACCCACAACAAAACUUCAGGCCCGUAACAGGACCGCUUCCGCCGCUGCUCACCACUCACCACUCACCACGGCUCCAUGCGGAAAUUCAUCGCAGGAACACGACAUAAAAACCACAGGUGGCCACAGUGCGACAACGAGGUUCGAUGGACAUAACUGACAAGCACCCACGCAUCACUCAACAGUUUUGGUAAGUUGCGCAUCCAAGCGUGUUUACCCAACAGCGACGGAUAGGCAACUACUGCCUGCAAUUGCUAUGCAUGUGACGUCUCGUAUACCGGUAUUGGCAGUUUAUUGGUUAUGUUGUGUCUACGUUCACAUAGCUAAACAACGUAACGUAACUGAAGGCAGCAGCGGCCGGCAGAUGCGGACAACCACCUCGACUAGCAAACAUAGCAGCGAUACAUUACGCGCUGGGCGUGAACUUGGUGGCGAAGGCGAAGGCGUUGUUGACGGCCGGGUUGGCCAGAUGGUCGUUCAG
rnacentral:lncRNA from 1 species